AAACCGAAUUGAAUUGUACAAGCU
rnacentral:sRNA from 1 species